rnacentral:rRNA from 1 species
GACGAACGCUGGCGGCGGGCUUAACACAUGCAAGUCGAGCGCCCCGCAAGGGGAGCGGCAGACGGGUGAGUAACGCGUGGGAAUCUACCUUUUGCUACGGAAUAACUCAGGGAAACUUGUGCUAAUACCGUAUGUGCCCUUCGGGGGAAAGAUUUAUCGGCAAAGGAUGGGCCCGCGUUGGGUUAGCUAGUUGGUGGGGUAAAGGCCUACCAAGGCGACGAUCCAUAGCUGGUCUGAGAGGAUGAUCAGCCACACUGGGACUGAGACACGGCCCAG